rnacentral:rRNA from 1 species
CCUACGGGAGGCAGCAGUGAGGAAUAUUGGUCAAUGGACGAGAGUCUGAACCAGCCAAGUAGCGUGAAGGAUGACUGCCCUAUGGUUUGUAAACUUCUUUUAUAUGGGAGUAAAACAGUGUAUGUAAAUGCUCUUGUAUGUACCAUAUGAAUAAGGAAAGGCUAACCACGUGCCAGCAGCCGCGGUAAUACGGAGGAUCGGAGCGUUAUCUGGUUUUAUUGGGUUUAAAGGGAGCGUAGGUGGAUUGUUAAGUCAGUUGUGAAAGUUUGCGGCUCAACCGUAAAAUUGCAGUUGAAACUGGCAGUCUUGAGUACAGUAGAGGAGGGCGGAACUCGAGGUGUAGCGGUGAAAUGCUUAGAUAUAACGAAGAACUCCGAUUGCGAAGGCAGCUUACUAAACUGCAACUGACAUUGAUGCUCGAAAGUGUGGGUAUCAAACAGGAUUAGAUACCCCUGUAGUC